rnacentral:rRNA from 1 species
CGGUACGUACUGGCAUUGUUGGUUUCUCCCUUCUGACGAACCAUGAUGUCAUUUAUUUGGUGUUGUGGGGAAUCAGGACUGUUACUUUGAAAAAAUUAGAGUGUUUAAAGCAGGCUCACGCUUGAAUACAUUAGCAUGGAAUAAUGAAAUAGGACGUUUGAUUCUACUUUGUUGGUUUCUAGGAUCGACGUAAUGAUUAAUAGGGAUAGUUGGGGGCAUUAGUAUUCAAUUGUCAGAGGUGAAAUUCUUGGAUUUAUUGAAGACUAACUACUGCGAAAGCAUUUGCCAAGGAUGUUCUCAUUAACCAAGAACGAAAGUUAGGGGAUCGAAGACGAUCAGAUACCGUCGUAGUCUUAACCAUAAACUAUGCCGACUAGGGAUCGGAUGAUGUUAAUUUUUUAAUGACUCAUUCGGCGUCUUACG